GGGGGCCUGGCCCUGAGGCCUUUCAGGCGGGUCCAUGGAGCCUGGACUACCUGCUCAGCUCCUCCUGCCCUGCUCCAUCCAGCUGUCACCAAGACCCUGACCAGGCCACCUCCCCCUCCCCCAGCAGGCAGCCUCAGCUGCUGAUGGGCCAGGCCCAUCCUGGUCACCUUGCUCCCCAGCCAGGAAGCCUCCACAGCCUGGGAGAGGGAGUCCAAGCUAAUUCAGGGCCUCUCCCACCUCUCCUGGUUGUCAGUGUGAGGGGAACUUUGGGGACAAGGGGACGCUCCCUGCAGUGGACUGUGUGACAGGAGUUGGUGCCCUGCCUCCCCGCCAACGCUUCCAGACAAUCCACAGGACUGGAGGAUGUCCACAGGCAAAAUUGUCGCCAAGAGAAGGAAGGAAGAGCCCCGACCGGCUCUGCCUCUGGGGGGAAAGAGCCUGUUUGCAGCCUCCAAGGAAGCCUGCUGAAUAGCAAACAUCUGCCCAUCAGCUGUACUUAUCAGGUCCUGGCUGAGCCUUGACUUGGCAGAGGUGAACCCAAGGAAAAUACAACAGACCUACAAGUCACUGCCUCCCACGACAGUCUGGGACUGACAUUCUGUAAGGGCUCCGGGGUUCAGAGAGACCUGAGAGGCAGGAUGGAGCCCUUCUGCUGGGGUUGGUCAGGGAAGGCUUCUCGGAGGAGAGAGCAUUCAAGCUGGGCGUGGAGGCCUGGGCUGGCAGUGGCAGGGUUCAGCCCACUGAUUGGCUGAUGGAUCUGCAAAAGUUGGAAUAUCCACGGGUGCUAAGUCUGCUGGGACCAAGGAUCUGAGAUGACUUCAUUGCCGAGCUGAGCGUGGACCCUGAAACCUACUUGGUUUGGUAACCUGCACGUUGUACCCAGCUGACAUUGCCCCCACCGGAUAUCCAUGGAACUGGCCAAGCUGGACACUGGGGAGGGACAGGUGUGGGCCGAUGGCCUCUGGACACUGCUUCUCCCACACUUGGGCUGAGUCCUAUACUGUGAACCCAGACACCAAGAUGACAAGACCAACAGGGCAAGACCUCCGGGGGCCUGGCCUGGCCCCCCUCAUGCAGUGCCUCUAACGUGUUAUCCUCUCUUCAGGCCUCCAGCCCUCGCCAAGGCCCAAGGCUGUGCUAAGGCUCUGUUGAGAGCCAACCUGGGGGCCCAGGGCCUGCCUGGGCAGAGAUUGCGCCCAGGAGGUUGUGGGCUGCGCUGACUCCCACGAAGACAGCCAACACCUGCACCAGCCUGCCCAGGCACACCCCUCUGCCCCAGCCAACUAUGACACAGCUGUCAAGGCCUAGCCCAGCUGUCACUUCCUCUGGGCUGGGGCCAGGGUUAUCAGUAGGGUCUCCAGCCUUGGUGCUUCUGUGACGUGGAUGGGGUGAGGAAUUAAACACACAGGAAAACCAAUUCAGA